AGGAUGAACGCUAGCGGCAGGCUUAACACAUGCAAGUCGAGGGGCAGCACGUCUUCGGAUGGUGGCGACCGGCGCACGGGUGCGUAACGCGUAUACAACCUACCUUAUAGAGGGGAAUAGCCCAGAGAAAUUUGGAUUAAUGCCCAUAGUAUUAUUGAAUAGCAUUAUUUGAUGAAUUAAACUAUUUAUGGUCUAUAAGAGUGGGUAUGUCGUUCUAUUAGCUAGUAGUAGGUAAGGUAACGGUCUUACCAGUGGACAACGAUAGAGUAGGGGUCCUGGAGGAGGGAGACUACCCCACUACGUGGUACUGACGACGACGGACCAGACUCCGUACGGGA
rnacentral:rRNA from 1 species